GAUGAACGCUGGCGGCGUGCCUAAUACAUGCAAGUCGAGCGAACGGACGAGAAUCUUGCUUCUCUGAUGUUAGCGGCGGACGGGUGAGUAACACGUGGAUAACCUACCUAUAAGACUGGGAUAACUUCGGGAAACCGUAGCUAAUACCGGAUAAUAUUUUUAACCGCAUGGUUCAAAAGUGAAAGACGGUCUUGCUGUCACUUAUCGAUGGAUCCGCGCUGCAUUAGCUAGUUGGUAAGGUAACGGCUUACCAAGGCAACGAUGCAUAGCCGACCUGAGAGGGUGAUCGGCCACACAGGAACUGAGACACGGUCCAGACUCCUACGGGAGGCAGCAGUAGGGAAUCUUCCGCAAUGGGCGAAAGCCUGACGGAGCAACGCCGCGUGAGUGAUGAAGGUCUUCGGAUCGUAAAACUCUGUUAUUAGGGAAGAACAUAUGUGUAAGUAACUGUGCACAGCUUGACGGUACCUAAUCAGAAAGCCACGGCUAACUACGUG
rnacentral:rRNA from 1 species